rnacentral:rRNA from 1 species
AUACGUAGGUGACAAGCGUUAUCCGGAUUUACUGGGCGUAAAGGGCAUGUAGGCGGUCUUGUAAGCUUGGCGUGAAAGACCACGGCUCAACCGUGGGAUUGCGUUGAGAACUGCGAGGCUUGAGUGACGGAGAGGGAGCUAGAAUUCCUGGUGUAGGGGUGGAAUCUGUAGAGAUCAGGAAGAAUACCAAUGGCGAAGGCAAGCUCCUGGCCGAUGACUGACGCUGAGGUGCGAAAGUGUGGGGAUCAAACAGGAUUAGAUACCCUGGUAGUCCACACUGUAAACGAUGUGCACUAGGUGCUGGUACGGAUGUAUCAGUGCCGUAGCUAACGUGAUAAGUGCACCGCCUGGGGAGUAUGCUCGCAAGGGUGAAACUCAAAGGAAUUGACGGG